CAGGAUUGAAAACAGCCUUGGGGAUGGCUGCUCCCAUGCUUUGCUGACUGCUGUCUGCUCCAAAUUCUGGCUGAAGUAGAACCAUCUCUUCUUCAUGGAUGGCACAAUUAUUCAAAUAUCUUUUAUAUAUACCCUACCAAGAGACUUCAUGAGAACCCUGAAGACAACAGUUUAGUGGAAUGCCUUACAGAAGACCUUGAGGACUCCCAGAGGGGAAGUCUCUGCCCACCUCUGCUGAGAGAGGUGUUUAAAUGGCCAUACGUGGAACUGGCAGAAAUAUAAAGAAGUAGAAUUCAUGUUGCUGGGAAAAGUAUUUAACCCACAACUUUUACAACAGAAG
rnacentral:lncRNA from 1 species